rnacentral:rRNA from 1 species
GUGGGGAAUUUUGGACAAUGGGCGCAAGCCUGAUCCAGCAAUGCCGCGUGCAGGAUGAAGGCCUUCGGGUUGUAAACUGCUUUUGUACGGAACGAAAAGCCCUGGGUUAAUACCCUGGGGUCAUGACGGUACCGUAAGAAUAAGCACCGGCUAACUACGUGCCAGCAGCCGCGGUAAUACGUAGGGUGCAAGCGUUAAUCGGAAUUACUGGGCGUAAAGCGUGCACAGGCGGUUUUGUAAGACUGGCGUGAAAUCCCCGGGCUCAACCUGGGAAUUGCGCUUGUGACUGCAAGGCUGGAGUGCGGCAGAGGGGGAUGGAAUUCCGCGUGUAGCAGUGAAAUGCGUAGAUAUGCGGAGGAACACCGAUGGCGAAGGCAAUCCCCUGGGCCUGCACUGACGCUCAUGCACGAAAGCGUGGGGAGCAAACAGGAUUAGAUACCCGGGUAGUCC